UACGUAGGGACCGAGCGUUGUCCGGAAUCAUUGGGCGUAAAGAGCGUGUAGGCGGCCCUUUAAGUCCUGCGUGAAAUCCUGCGGCUCAACCGCAGACGGUCGUGGGAAACUGGAGGGCUAGAGUUCGGGAGAGGUGAGUGGAACUGCGAGUGUAGAGGUGAAAUUCGUAGAUAUUCGCAAGAACACCAGUGGCGAAGGCGGCUCACUGGCCCGAUACUGACGCUGAGGCACGAAAGCGUGGGGAGCAAACAGG
rnacentral:rRNA from 1 species